rnacentral:rRNA from 1 species
AGAGUUUGAUCAUGGCUCAGAUUGAACGCUGGCGGCAGGCCUAACACAUGCAAGUCGAGCGGUAACAGGGGUGCUUGCACCCGCUGACGAGCGGCGGACGGGUGAGUAACGCGUGGGAAUCUGCCCAUUAGUGGGGGAUAACUCGGGGAAACUCGAGCUAAUACCGCAUAAUCCCUACGGGGGAAAGCAGGGGACCUUCGGGCCUUGCGCUGAUGGAUGAGCCCGCGUCGGAUUAGCUAGUUGGUAGGGUAAAGGCCUACCAAGGCGACGAUCCGUAACUGGUCUGAGAGGAUGACCAGUCACAUCGGGACUGAGACACGGCCCGAACUCCUACGGGAGGCAGCAGUGGGGAAUCUUGGACAAUGGGGGCAACCCUGAUCCAGCCAUGCCGCGUGUGUGAAGAAGGCCCUAGGGUUGUAAAGCACUUUCAGUAGGGAGGAAGGCUCUGGGCUAAUACCCUGGAGAACUUGACGUUACCUACAGAAGAAGCACCGGCUAAUUUCGUGCCAGCAGCCGCGGUAAUACGAAAGGUGCGAGCGUUAAUCGGAAUUACUGGGCGUAAAGCGCGCGUAGGCGGUUAGUUAAGUCGGAUGUGAAAGCCCAGGGCUCAACCUUGGAACUGCAUCCGAUACUGGCUUGCUAGAGUGUGGUAGAGGGAGGUGGAAUUUCCGGUGUAGCGGUGAAAUGCGUAGAGAUCGGAAGGAACACCAGUGGCGAAGGCGGCCUCCUGGACUAACACUGACGCUGAGGUGCGAAAGCGUGGGGAUCAAACAGGAUUAGAUACCCUGGUAGUCCACGCUGUAAAC